UACAGAGGGUGCAAGCGUUAAUCGGAGUUACUGGGCGUAAAGGGCGCGUAGGCGGUUGUGUAAGUGAGAUGUGAAAGCCCUGGGCUCAACCUAGGAACUGCAUCUUAUACUGUACAGCUAGAGUAUUGUAGAGGGUAGUGGAAUUUCCGGUGUAGCGGUGAAAUGCGUAGAGAUCGGAAGGAACACCAGUGGCGAAAGCACUCUGCUGGGCCGACACUGACACUGAGAGACGAAAGCUAGGGGAGCGAAUGGG
rnacentral:rRNA from 1 species